rnacentral:lncRNA from 1 species
UGUGGAUUCAUUAUUAUUCGUUGCAUACCAAAUUAAGUGAACUUUGUAGGUAUAGGUGAACACUGGCGAACCACGAAAUUAAAUGUUCAACUAAUGAUAAAUUUUCAAAGGCUUAUAUAAAGACUUUGACAACACCACGAAAUUAAAUAUCUACGAACAUGCAAGUUUUCCUUCUUCCACGAAAAUGUGUGUCCACGGAAAUAAAUGAAUCCACAGUAAUUAGUAUUUAGAAUUGUCAUGUGAUCAAAAUUGAUGUAAACUAUAAAGCUUAAAAUUAAAUUAGUUGUACAUUUAUCAAACAAUCAUUCUAUAAAUA